UACGUAGGGUGCAAGCGUUAAUCGGAAUUACUGGGCGUAAAGCGUGCGCAGGCGGUUCGUUGUGUCGGCGGUGAAAGCCCCGGGCUUAACCUGGGAAUGGCCGUUGAAACUGGCGAACUGGAGUGUGGCAGGAGGGGGGUGGAAUUCCGCGUGUAGCAGUGAAAUGCGUAGAGAUGCGGAGGAACACCGAUGGCGAAGGCAGCCCCCUGGGCUGACACUGACGCUCAGGCACGAAAGCGUGGGGAGCAAACAGG
rnacentral:rRNA from 1 species